GCCGGGGUGGCUCAGUGGAUAGAGUGUCGGCCUUCGGACCGAAGGGUCCCAGGUUCGAUUCCCGGUCAGGGCC
rnacentral:tRNA from 1 species